AGGCGGUCCGUCACACUCCCGUUCCAUGGGUAUUCUAUGAUGGAAAAAGAAAGAACAAAAGGCCAAUCAUGAGAUAAAACAUUUGAUUAAACAUAUCUGUGUAGUGCCAAAAAGGUUGAUAUUGUGGUCAUAAAGUAUCGGCAUUCAGGAAUCAUUCAACACCACAGAUAGGACUACUCAGCCGAUGCCCGUGGAUAGGAGGCUACUGACAUA